rnacentral:rRNA from 1 species
UGGGGAAUUUUGGACAAUGGGCGAAAGCCUGAUCCAGCAAUGCCGCGUGUGUGAAGAAGGCCUUCGGGUUGUAAAGCACUUUUGUCCGGAAAGAAAUCCUUGGCUCUAAUACAGUCGGGGGAUGACGGUACCGGAAGAAUAAGCACCGGCUAACUACGUGCCAGCAGCCGCGGUAAUACGUAGGGUGCAAGCGUUAAUCGGAAUUACUGGGCGUAAAGCGUGCGCAGGCGGUUUGCUAAGACCGAUGUGAAAUCCCCGGGCUCAACCUGGGAACUGCAUUGGUGACUGGCAGGCUAGAGUAUGGCAGAGGGGGGUAGAAUUCCACGUGUAGCAGUGAAAUGCGUAGAGAUGUGGAGGAAUACCGAUGGCGAAGGCAGCCCCCCUGGGGCCAAUACUGACGCUCAUGCACGAAAGCGUGGGGAGCAAACAGGAUUAGAUACCCCUGGUAGUCCACGCCCCUAAACGAUGUCAACUAGUUGUUGGGGAUUCAUUUCCUUAGUAACGUAGCUAACGCGUGAAGUUGACCGCCUGGGGGAGUACGGUCGCAAGAUUAAAACUUAAAGGAAUUGACGGGG